UUAAGUUCAGCGGGUAGCCCUACCUGAUUUGAGGUCAAACUUGUUUGUUGUUGUAAGGCCGAGCCAUAGUUACUAAACACUUGCCAUCAGACUAUUCAACGAGUUGGAUAAACCUAAUACAUUGAAAAAUCUGAAGCACUAAUCUAGUACCACUCAUGCCGAUACAUUUCAAGCAAACGCCUAGUUCGACUAAGAGUAUC
rnacentral:misc_RNA from 1 species